GACGAACGCUGGCGGCGUGCCUAAUACAUGCCAGUUGAGCGAUGAAGAUUGGUGCUUGCACCAAUUUGAAGAGCAGCGAACGGGUGAGUAACGCGUGGGGAAUCUGCCUUUGAGCGGGGGACAACAUUUGGAAACGAAUGCUAAUACCGCAUAACAACUUUAAACAUAAGUUUUAAGUUUGAAAGUUGCAAUUGCAUCACUCAAAGAUGAUCCCGCGUUGUAUUAGCUAGUUGGUGAGGUAAAGGCUCACCAAGGCGAUGAUACAUAGCCGACCUGAGAGGGUGAUCGGCCACAUUGGGACUGAGACACGGCCCAAACUCCUACGGGAGGCAGCAGUAGGGAAUCUUCGGCAAUGGACGAAAGUCUGACCGAGCAACGCCGCGUGAGGGAAGAAGGUUUUCGGAUCGUAAAACUCUGUUGGUAGAGAAGAACGUUGGUGAGAGUGGAAAGCUCAUCAAGUGACGGUAACUACCCAGAAAGGGACGGCUAACUACGUG
rnacentral:rRNA from 1 species